CCAGCAGGGGAAAAAAUUACCCAUUACAUCCAGAGGGAUAAUUGGUCAUGCAGCUUUAUUUAUCAUUUUAUACCUUCUUAGUAUGGGAUGGAUUUCCUUUCAAAUAAAUUCAUUACAUGCUUAGAUAGCUACAUACAGAUUGAAGUGAAUUCUAUGAAGACCUUGCAUGUAGAAAACCCUUCUUACUAUACAUCAAUUUAAGCAAAAGCUUGCACAUGAAUGAGUGCUGGUGUUAAAAUCCACCUUUCACUCCUCGUUCACAAGCAGCAGACACAUUGCAGCAGUAGCACAAGGAAACCCACAUAGGGCAAAGUACAGUGUUUACAUAGUGCGACCAUUUUUAGAGGAAAGACUCUAGCAAGGCCGCAUUUUUUAAAAAUCAAACUCACAAAUUAAGAUUGAGAUAGGAGGGGAGAAGGGAAGUCAAUAGGGAUUAAGUCAAAGUCUCAGUUUUGUUGUGCAGAUAGACUUUGUAUAUAUAGGCACACACACUAGGCUAAAUAGAAUAAUUUAAAAGGCAGUUGGAAAAUUUCAUAUUGCUCUUUAUCAUCAAAAAAAAAAAAAAAAAAAAAGAAAGAAAAAGAAAAAAAAAAAAGAAAAAAAAAGAUUUGAACUGUUUUACUGUCCCUGUUCUCAUUUGUUCUAGACAGAGGCAAGGGUGCAGAUCUUUUUUUUUUUUUUUUUUUUCACAUUUACAGAAAUGAUUCUUUAGUGCACUGUAAUAUUACAGUAAAAAGGAACUAUCUCUUAAAGACAAUUUGAUCAGAUGUUGUCCGAUCAGAACUAUGGACUAUUACUAGGGAGGUGCCAACCAGUCCGUGCUAUCUAUCAUGGAUCAUCUAUUGCCGUUUUUGUUCUCCUGGGUCAAAAUUUCACAACAAAAUCAACUUUUUUCUUUAACAUCGUUCCCUUAGAUACAAAUAGUCAUACGUACAUACCUAACUACACAUACACUCUGUCCACACAUACACACACAUAGAAGCUGAAUGAAAUUUUUUUCAUCAUUUCUGGGAGGCAAAACUUAGUGUUAUGUUGUGCAAAUGAUUUGGCUACUACAGGAAAUGAAGGCAUUAGGUGUAAAAAUUAGAAGUGUGCUCAGUCAGCCAAAAUAAAUGUAAACAAACAGCAGGCUUUCACUAAGCAAUUCAGGUGUCUUAGCACCAGCUCUCAGCACCAAGGGAAUUUCCCCGUGUUAAAUACUAAGUUUGUGAUGGAUAAACUUGGUGAUGUUUAUCCAUCUAAAACGUGCAAAGAGACUCAUGGUUUAGGCUUGAAUACACUUGUUCUCUGAAGAUUCUAUCAAUUGGACCUAGCCUACAUUCAUUCCUCUCUUCCCUGAAAACAGCGUCCCAGCAACAAUGCAAGCUAAAGAAUGCUGAAAACACAUGUAAUGUAAUGGAAAGAGGGCACUUGAUAUCAUAGGAUAGAGGAAUAAACACAGAGGUCCCUCAAAACAGUCUAAGUGAAGGUACAGCGUAUCAAAAAACAUUCGAUGCUCACUGUCAUGGAAGUAAGCCACAGAUACAGAUUAAACAUGAAGAAAGCUA
ensembl:lncRNA